GAAGUGCAGAGUUUGUCUUCAGAAACUGCACUUGCUCCCCCACAUUCCUGUGUUGUCUGCAGCAUGGACAGACAGCAGGAGAGAGCUCUCCUUUGCUUUUAGUUAGUUUUAGCUAGCUGAGGCAGAGAAUUUCACUGGUCUGUGGAUCUUCUUUUUCUUGGAACUUUCAGCCCUGCUCUGGACUGAAAACCCAGAAAAACACCAGGAGCUCACCCCUAUGGGCACCGGGCCGGGCCUGGGCCGUGGCAUUUCCAGCAGCGGAGGGACUGAUAACAAACAGAGCCAAACUACAGCCCACAAAGGGGACUUCCUGAGUUUGCCAUCUCUUCAGAACAGCGAGAGGACCCUUGAGCUCUACACGAGUGGGACAUCCUCGUGAAUGGCAAGAUCUGCUCUGGAUUCUGAUAUUCUGAAGAGGGAGUUGGAAAAUUUUACUCCAGAUUCUGGCCACAGCUUUGCUCUGAUAAUGAUACACAGCUGUAUUUACGCUGCUGAAUAUUGACAUCAAAUGUGCCUGCAACUUGUGUGAGGACGAAAUUGGUCCAGGCCAAAUCGCCCCAUGCCAGUGAAGCCAAAUGAGUUGCUCAAAACAGAAAGACUGGAAUGUUCAUUUCUUCACAUUAAUGAAAAGGUAUCUGCUGAAUCGUGGAAAAAGAGACUUAAAAAAGAAAAAUAGAAAAGAAAAAUGGAGAAAUGCUGCCGUGGAAGGAGUCACUGCUUCAGGAACACACAGCCCUCUGGACCAUGCUUCCCUACAGACCCCAGAGCAGGAAGCAAACAUGGAUUCUCUUCGUAGUUUAAUAAGCAAGAGGACAAAAAUAACCUGUAACCUAUGCAUGUCUCUUUCUCAGUUUGCAUCUUGUCCAUACAUGAUUUGGUAUUUUAAAGAUUUCACCCUUAAUUUUUCUUUUCUUCUCCUUCUUCCUGAAUUUCCUCUUCGUCACUCCCUCAAGUUUCACCUUCUUUUGCUCCUUUUUAAAAUGUAUUAUGUUGUGAUCUCCUGUUUUCCCCUCUAUCCCUGUUCAUUUCAGUCCACAAAAUGUCAAGAGGCACCAAAAAACCUAAUUCUAAACUAUUCUCUGUCAGUUAUCCCAAUACCAUCUUUCUUGCAUUAUUCUUUGUUUACACAUUUCUAGAGAUUUGCGGACACUGAAACAAUGUUUUUAACCUAAUUUUGGUUUUAUGCAAACUCCACAUUAAUCAAAUUAUUCUGGGUUACUUCUAAGAUUCUUCACUUUUUCUUCUUUUUAUUUGCCCAUUCUCUCUCAGAAAAUACAAUAUAUCUUUAGUAUUUAUUUGGACCUUUUGGCAUUCUUACUUUGUUAUCAUUUUAAUAAUGCCAUUAACCAUUCCAUAACCUUUCCAGUUGCCCAGAAUACCAUAUUCAUUGCUCACACCAGCCAUCAGUGGUUACUUAUUACAAUUCUGCAUUCAUUCUGUCUUCACAACAAAUGCAUUUACAAUCACAUUGAACCAAUGAUUCCUCUUCAGAGACUCACUCCACCUCUGUCCUUUCCACCCAUGACUUUGUUCCACAAUGUCUGGCACAGAAUAUGAUGCCAAAAUGUAAUUUAUAUUCAUUUUGGUUCAUGCAUUUACAAAACAUUACUCACCUUUAGAAAAAAAAAAAAAACCAAACCACAAAACCUUUACAUUAACUCAUCUCUUUGUUAUUUUCAGUGCAGGAGCAUUACCUACGUGAAGUCAUAUUUUAUUCUUAGCUACAAUGGAAAUUCAGCAUAAUUCCAAUGCCUGAAUAUGAACAGGCAUAGAAAAACAGAAAUAGAACCCUGCCAAAAGUUACUAAAUGAACUUGAUUCCUAAAUACAACACAUUGCAAGUGGCCAUGACAAAACCUGUUUACUUUUGGUCACAGCACUGCCUUGAACUCAACUAGGGAAGCAGGUUAAACAAACCUACACCACAUUUGGCCAGUGUUUGUAAACACCUCUACCAUGCACCAGUUAAAAGGCAUAUGGUUUUAAAAAGUUCACUUGCAAACAUUUCAGAGGCAAUUAAAUAUACAUUUUAUGUUAAAUAUAAAGUAGGGUGGCAGAUAGAACCCUGCAAAAUGUUCGUACAUCAGUAUUACAAGAACCCAUGAGCCUUCAGUUCAGAUGCUUGCUCCACUGUUGAAUCCUCCUUAUUUUUCAAAGGACAUAAACACAAAAAAUUACACAUUUAAUGCAAAUUAUAUACCUAACAACAGAUUAUAUUCCUCUUUUUCACCUUCUAUAUAGUAACCUGCCAUUCUUCAGAUUAAAACACAGCUCUGAGUCAAGUAAAACUUGUAUUUUCUUUGGUCUGUCUUCAAAGUCACCACAUUUCAGCCUGUAUAACACAAAUUGCAGACCCUUCACUUUGUGUCUCUAUUAAUAGUGGUUUACCCCAGUAAAUCAGCUCUAUGGGUUUAAUGCUGCCCUCCACCUUCUAAAUCAAGACAUUGCAAUAGUGCAGUCACAUGCAACAACUGAAUUUUCAAAAUGUAGCACGCAGUAUAUGCUAGUUUUCCAAAAAAUCUUAAGAACACCAACAUUCAACAUCUACUGUUUUCAGAAUGUUUUCCAUUCUCUCAGCUUUUGCUUCCAUUUUCUCUAUCAAUACAAAAAU